AUUUGGACAUUAAUUUGUGUAAGUGUAUGAAGAGCAAGAACCUAAAAUUGUAAAUGUUAUGUAAUAAACUCCCAAAACUUGUUUUUAAUGUAAAAAAUGCAUUUAUACUCUGAGUUUCUUACAUCACUUUUAUUUUCCAUGCUUAUUUGAGGUAUAUGGGAUGCCCAGGAACUUUUGUAACAUAAGACAAAUAAGUAUAAAAACAUAGUGAAUUUGGAGCAGUUAGGAGCAUGAUAUUUCCCAUAGCAUUUGAAUCCUGGCUCGGCAACUAUCACUAAGUAACUUUGCAGACUCACUCUAAGCCUUCUGUGUCUCAGUUUUUAAAUCUCUAAAUUAGAGGUAAUUGUAACAUUUACCUUAAAGUAUUGCUGUAAGAACCGAAUGAGUGAUAACGCUCUAUAUAAAUUCGAGAACGUCUCUGGCAUUUUGUAAGCAUUACAUGAGUACAGGUAGCCCCCAACUUAACUACAGUUCAAUUCAUGGUUUUUAACUUUAGGAUGGUGUGAAAGAAAUACAUGUUGAGUAAAACUAUACUUGAAAUUUUGUAUUUUCAUCUUUUCCCAGGCUAGUGAUACGCAGUAUGAUGCUCUCUCCAGAUGCUGGGCAGUCAGCCAGGGUAUCAUCAGGAUAAACCACCAACAUUCUUCAGCGUGCAGUGUUGUCAGAUAAUUCUGCCCAGCUGCAGGCUAAUGCAAGUGUCCUGAGGAUGUUCAAGAGCAAGAAACUCCAUGUGGUAGAUAGAAUCAUCGUGGUUCUUCAUGGCCUGGCUAGAUGUGUGGAUCUUUCCCAAAAGGAAAGCAAUAAUUGCCACAAAAUAGGACCAAAUGUGUCUGUUUAAGAAAAAAGAAAAUCAAGGACCAAUGUAGAAGGGAAAUCGUGCUCAGGCACAGAACGACAAUAUCCAGGAGACUCAGGUUAUUGAAGGAGAAAACUUUAAAGAGAAAUUUGGGCUUCAGAG
rnacentral:lncRNA from 1 species